rnacentral:rRNA from 1 species
CCUACGGGAGGCAGCAGUGAGGAAUAUUGGUCAAUGGGCGGGAGCCUGAACCAGCCAAGUCGCGUGAGGGAAGACGGUCCUAUGGAUUGUAAACCUCUUUAGGCGGGGAGCAAUGCCGGGCACGUGUGCCCGGAGGGAGAGUACCCGCAGAAUAAGCAUCGGCUAACUCCGUGCCAGCAGCCGCGGUAAUCCGGGGGAUGCGAGCGUUAUCCGGAUUUAUGGGGUUUAAGGGGUGGGGAGGGGGAGUUUUAAGUCAGCGGUCAAAUCGUGGGGCUCAACCCCAUCCAGCAGUGGAAACUGGGGACCUAGAGUGUGCGAGAGGUAUGCGGAAUGCGUGGUGUAGCGGUGAAAUGCAUAGAUAUCACGAAGAACCCCGAUGGCGAGGGCAGCAUACCGGUGCACAACUGACGCUCAGGCACGAAAGCGUGGGUAUCGAACAGGAUUAGAUACCCUGGUAGUC